AUGGAAACACCUUUACCACAUUCCGCCAAUCUUACUAGCAGCAGGGUUUUUGUACGGCCACUAAACCUGUUUGUAUCACUGUGGUACACUUUUGGCGGAGGAACCAAACUGUCUGUGGGCCGUCUCACCCGGCCCAGUGUGACGGUGCUGCCCCCCUCCAGUGUGGACCUGCAGCAGGAGAAGGUCACACUCGUUUGUGUGGCCAACAAGGGCUUCCCCUCGGACUGGAGGCUGACCUGGAAGGUUAAUGGGAACAGCUGGACCUCGGGGGAGAGUCACAGUGCUGAUGUUCUGCACACAGACGGCCUCUACAGCUGGAGCAGCACGCUGAGCCUCCGCUCGGAGCAGUGCAGGAACAAGCUGGUGACCUGUGAGGCCUUCAAGGAGAACCAACCUACUGUGGUGAGCACAGUGAACAUAGAGCAGUGCUCAGAGCUGUGAGCUUACACACACUUCUACUGCUUUACUGUGUGUUACAUCUGAUCUUUACUGCUCAAAUGUCAAAUUUUUAAAUAAAAGGUUUUGUUCAACAAUAAAA